rnacentral:rRNA from 1 species
UACAGAGGGGGCAAGCGUUGUUCGGAAUUACUGGGCGUAAAGGGCGCGUAGGCGGUUGGAUAAGUCAGCUGUGAAAACCACGAGCUCAACUUGUGGCCUGCAGUUGAAACUGUCUGGCUAGAGUGUGGGAGAGGGAAGUGGAAUUCCUGGUGUAGCGGUGAAAUGCGUAGAUAUCAGGAGGAACACCGGUGGCGAAGGCGGCUUCCUGGACCACAACUGACGCUGAGGCGCGAAAGCCAGGGGAGCAAACAGG